AUACGGAGGGGGCUAGCGUUGUUCGGAUUUACUGGGCGUAAAGCGCGCGUAGGCGGCGUGUCAAGUCGAGGGUGAAAUCCCGGGGCUCAACCCCGGAACUGCCUUCGAAACUGGCAUGCUAGAGUCCGGGAGAGGAGAGUGGAAUUCCCAGUGUAGAGGUGAAAUUCGUAGAUAUUCGGAAGAACACCAGUGGCGAAGGCGGCUCUCUGGUCCGGUACUGACGCUGAGGCGCGAAAGCGUGGGGAGCAAACAGGAUUAGAAACCCCAGUAGUCC
rnacentral:rRNA from 1 species